UGAGCAACCUGCCCUUGACUCUGGAAUAACAGCUGGAAACAGCUGCUAAUACCGGAUACGACCUCCGAUGGCAUCAUCUGGAGGUGGAAAGCUCCGACGGUCAAGGAUGGGCUCGCGGCCUAUCAGCUUGUUGGUGAGGUAACGGCUCACCAAGGCUUCGACGGGUAGCCGGCCUGAGAGGGCGACCGGCCACACUGGGACUGAGACACGGCCCAGACCUCUACGGGAGG
rnacentral:rRNA from 1 species